UAGCGCAACUCUGGAAAGUGUCGCCGCCUUUCGGGCUGUGGCCGCCGACGGUGUAACCCUGUUUUGCCCAACGCAAGGCAUCCGGGGGAAGCUCUCAGGUUUCCGUGACAGAGGGGGCACC
rnacentral:ncRNA from 1 species